UACGUAGGGGGGCAAGCGUUGUCCGGAAUCAUUGGGCGUAAAGCGCGUGUAGGCGGUUCGGUAAGUCUGCUGUGAAAGUCCAGGGCUCAACCCUGGGAUGCGGAUGGAUACUGUCGAGCUCGAGUCCGGAAGAGGCGAGUGGAAUUCCUGGUGUAGCGGUGAAAUGCGCAGAUAUCAGGAGGAACACCAAUGGCGAAGGCAGCUCGCUGGGACGUGACUGACGCUGAGACGCGAAAGCGUGGGGAGCAAACAGG
rnacentral:rRNA from 1 species